rnacentral:rRNA from 1 species
CAGUCGCCGCGGUAAAACGUAGGUGGCAAGCGUUGUCCGGAAUUAUUGGGCGUAAAGGGCUCGCAGGCGGUUUCUUAAGUCUGAUGUGAAAGCCCCCGGCUCAACCGAGGAGGGUCAUUGGAAACUGGGAAACUUGAGAGCAGAAGAGGAGAGUGGAAUUCCACGUGUAGCGGUGAAAUGCGUAGAGAUGUGGAGGAACACCAGUGGCGAAGGCGACUCUCUGGUCUGUAACUGACGCUGAGGAGCGAAAGCGUGGGGAGCGAACAGGAUUAGAUACCCGAGUAGUCCCUGUCUCUUAUAC